CGUGUAGGCGGCUCAUCAAGUCUGGUGUGAAAUCGCAGGGCUUAACCCUGCAUAUGCGCUGGAAACUGGUGGGCUUGAGUUCUUGAGGGGAAGCUGGAAUUCCAGGUGUAGGGGUGAAAUCUGUAGAUAUCUGGAAGAACACCGGUGGCGAAGGCGGGCUUCUAUCAGAGGACUGACGCUGAGGCGCGAAAGCGUGGGGAGCAAACAGGAUUAGAUACCCUGGUAGUCCACGCUGUAAACGAUGUGCACUAGGCGUGGGGCCCGUACGGGUUCUGUGCCGUAGUUAACGUGUUAAGUGCACCGCCUGGGGAGUAUGCUCGCAAGGGUGAA
rnacentral:rRNA from 1 species